GCCUCCGACAUCAUCAGCCGCUCUUCCUUGGGUUACGGACUGUGAACAUUGGGGCCAACCGUCCUUUCCUUUUUUGGGCUCAUAUAUAGACCUGGUCGAACAGACGAAACGAGCAACUGGACGCGGUUCACGAAGACAAGAUGUCCGGGGCUCUGCGCGUCCUCUUGGGCCUGGCACUGUGCGCUGUACUCCUGCAGCAUGCAGAGGCGGGCUACGGUGGCGGUGGAUACGGGGGUCACGUGAGCAUCAAGGUUUACCGCGGACCCUCCCACGGUCACGGCUACCAUUCGUUUGCACCGUUCGGCUACCAUGUCCAUCUGCCUCCAGACAACCACGGCUACGGCUGAGGAAAUGUUCAACUGUGUGGGACCACCCAGUACUUCUCAGCAGCAGUAAUAAAGACACAAAAAAGAG